UUUAAUUUAGGUUAUACAAGAAAAUAAACAAAAUUAGGAAACAUCAAUUUUACAUCACUUUUAUCUUAUUUAAAAGCACUAAAAUAAUACAUCUUUAAUUAUUCAAAGUUAAUUAGCAAUGAUGACGGCCAUAAAGUACACAACACUAUGAAAUCUUCCAAAGAAUAAAUUUGGGAUGUAAAUUUUCAAAAAUCUAAACUCUGAUUUUGAUGGGAAGGAUAAUCAGAAACGGGGCAAAAAAAUUGUUCUGAUCAUUACAAAUCUUGCAAGUCUCCAGCCAAAGCUAAAGCCUUUUUGUAUGAAUCUCUCAUAGUGGAUUAUAGUUAUAGUUUAUGAUUAACUCAAGGUGAUUACUAGUUCAAAAUCCUCUUCCAGCAAUGGCUACAAUGGAAUUCCACGUCUAAGACUCUGCCUCUCGUCGCACAAGAUUGGAAUAUCACUUCAUAAGAUAUUUGAAUUAAUUCACCAUGAUGUAAAAAAUCUAAGAGGCAAGGUUCUUGACUACAACAAGUAAAAAGCUUAUCAUUAAUACAUCGCUGUGCAAAUUUUAUCAUCAACGGCCCUACGCACAACUGCAUUCCCCCCGGCUCGGCAAAUUUAAAUCUUGAUGUUGAAGUAGUCGG
rnacentral:lncRNA from 1 species